rnacentral:misc_RNA from 1 species
CAGAGUUCAUGCCCUUCGGGGUAGACCUCCCACCCUGUUUAAUUACUAUUGUUGCUUUGGCAGGCUGCCCUCACCAUGGGGCGUCCGGGUUCCGCCCGCGUCUCGCCUGCCAGAGGAAAUCAAACUCUGAAUUUUUGUAUCGUCUGAGUAAAACAUAAUAAGUUA